rnacentral:lncRNA from 1 species
UUCAUUUCUAUGUUUCUUUUUCUCUCACAUAACCAUCAUCUUCUUGAUAACAGAUCUCUCAUCCAUAUCUUGGAUUUUUUUGUUUCUCUUUCUCUUUCUUCAACCACCAUCACCCACUAAGCUCUUCAACCAAAACCAUUCUACCACCACCAUGCCCUCCUCAUCCAUUACCCUAACCCCUUUUCUCCAACACCUCUUCUUUGACCUCAAUUCCACUUAUUCCCACUCAAUCAACAUCGUCCUCACAAAAUUUAAAAUUGGGUUGUCUCUACGGCAAGAACUCGGUGGAGACCAAACAAUGUCGGAAGAUAGGAGUUCCAAUGCCCACUUCCUCUCUAUCCUUUGAACCAGUUCUGGUGACGGAAAGGUGGAAGAGCUAGCGGCGGAAAUCAAACAGUGUUGGUCGUCUUCAUCGUCCUCAAAGAAAGUUGUGGUGUCCCUCUAGCUGCGAUGGGGUUGUCCUCGCCGCUGCUCUAAGGCUGCUAGUCGGCCCCCUUUGCGCCGGUAAUGGGUUUUAUGGGAGUUGUUUUGUUAAUUAUUUAUGAUAUUGUAAAGUGUGAAAAAAAAGAAUGGACUCAUAAGAUGGUGGUUGAAGAUGUUAGAAAAUGCUUUAAAUUUGCGGAAAACAGAUUAAGAGGAAGAAGACGAGUCUAAGAGAGAAAGAAUUUCAGAGAAUUAUCGAAAAUUGAAUCUGGACUUGAAGAACUAAGAACUAGGGUUCUUCAUACUUCUUGAAUUGGGGAUUUUAGUGUUUUAGAAGAAAUUGAGAGAAAUUGAUUAUGGAUAAUACUUCAGAGUGUAAUCUUAUUGCUAAAUGAAUC